AACGCAUAUUGCGCUCUCUGGUAUUCCGGAGAGCAUGCUUGUUUGAGUAUCAGUAAACACCUCAAAUCCCUCUACUUGUUGGAGGAAUUUGGACUUGAGCAAUCCCAACUUUUCGAAAGAGAAGGCGGGUUGCUUGAAAUGCAGGUGCAGCUAGAUUCUUUCUUCUGAGCUAUAAGCAUACUUAUUUAAUCCCGUCAAACGGAUUAUUACUUUUGCUGCAGCUAACAUAAAGGUUGAAGAGUCGCUAUGGCUGACUGAUGCAGGAUUUAACAUGUCGCGCAAGCGAUCUGUAAACUCGAUCUCAAAUCAAGCAAGACUACCCGCUGAACUUAA
rnacentral:misc_RNA from 1 species